CGUCGCGAGGCGGACGGAGGGAUGGAUGAGGUUACCUGGAAAAAAUCGGGGCGAUCUAGGCGGGCGAACCUCGCCAACGAACGAUCGGACAUGGGAUAACGGAAGAGGGCGUCGGCUCGACUUCGUCGGUUCCUCGGGCCGAGGCACGUACGGUGAAUAGGGACGGUCGGGGCCGCCCGUACCGGGUCGUGAGAGGUGAAAUUCUAGGAUCGACCCGAGACGAACUGCCGCGAAAGCAUUCGGCAAGGACGCUUUCAUUAAUCAAGAACGAAAGUCGGGGGAUCGAAGACGAUCAGAUACCGUCGUAGUCCCGACCGUAAACGAUGCCGACCGAGGGCCCGGAGGAGUUACGUACGACCCUCCGGGCCCUCCCGCGAGAAAUCAGGAGUAUUCGGGUUCC
rnacentral:rRNA from 1 species